UACGGGGGGGGCAAGCGUUGUUCGGAAUUACUGGGCGUAAAGGGCUCGUAGGCGGCCAACUAAGUCGGAUGUGAAAUCCCCAGGCUUAACCUGGGAACUGCAUCCGAUACUGGAUGGCUUGAAUCCGGGAGAGGGAUGCAGAAUUCCAGGUGUAGCGGUGAAAUGCGUAGAGAUCCGGAGGAACACCAGCGGCGAAGGCGGCAUCCUGGACUGGUCCUGACGCUCAGGAGCGAAAGCGUGGGGAGCGAUCCGG
rnacentral:rRNA from 1 species